AAGGGACUCCUAUGAAAUACUAUUUGAACAAAGGUAUAGCUCCACCAAUCACUAUAUUGUGAUUGAUGUUGAGGUAACCAUGUUUGAAGAGUUGUGUAUAAAAAAAA